GUAACCUGCCUCACACAGGGGGAUAACAGUUAGAAAUGACUGCUAAUACCGCAUAAGCGCACGGCAUCGCAUGAUGCAGUGUGAAAAACUCCGGUGGUGUGAGAUGGAUCCGCGUCUGAUUAGGUAGUUGGUGGGGUAACGGCCCACCAAGCCGACGAUCAGUAGCCGACCUGAGAGGGUGACCGGCCACAUUGGGACUGAGACACGGCCCAA
rnacentral:rRNA from 1 species